rnacentral:rRNA from 1 species
GAUGAACGCUGGCGGCGUGCCUAAUACAUGCAAGUAGAACGCUGAAGGAAGGAGCUUGCUCUUUCCGGGUGAGUUGCGGACGGGUGAGUAACGCGUAGGUAACCUGCCUGUUAGCGGGGGAUAACUACGGGAAACGAUAGCUAAUACCGCAUAAUAGUAGAUAUGGCAUGAUACCUACUUAAAAGGUGCAAUUGCAGCACUACCAGAUGGACCUCCGUUUUAUUAGCUAGUUGGUGAGGUAACGGCCCACCAAGGCAACGAUACUUAGCCGCCUUGAGUGGUGGUUGGGCCACACUGGAACUGAGCCACGGUCCAGACUCCUACGGGAGGAACAAGAGGGGAAUUUCGGCCAAUGACCGAAGUCCGGACGCAGAAAGCCCGCUUGGUGAAGGAAGGUUUCCGAUUGGUAAACCCCUUUUUAAGGGAAAGAAGAGUGGGAGAGUGAAAAGUUCACGUUGUGACGGUAUCUUAACAGAAAGGGACGGCUAACUACGUG